GGGCCCGCACAAGCGGUGGAGCAUGUGGUUUAAUUCGAUGAUACGCGAGGAACCUUACCAGGGCUUAAAUGUAGUCUGACAGGGGUGGAAACACCCCCUCCUUCGGGCAGAUUACAAGGUGCUGCAUGGUUGUCGUCAGCUCGUGCCGUGAGGUGUCAGGUUAAGUCCUAUAACGAGCGCAACCCCUGCCGUUAGUUGCCAGCAUGUAAUGAUGGGAACUCUAACGGGACUGCCGGUGCAAACCGCGAGGAAGGUGGGGAUGACGUCAAAUCAUCACGGCCCUUACGUCCUGGGCUACACACGUGCUACAAUGGCCGGUACAGAGGGCAGCCACACCGCCCGUCACACCAUGGAAGUUAGAUUUACCUUAAGGCAAGUUAUGAACCCUCGGGACAUGCUUGACCACGGUAAG
rnacentral:rRNA from 1 species